AGGCGGGCCUGCUUGCGCCACUUUGCCCGCCGGUUCUGAAACCAAACCUGAGCAACGGGAAGGUUAUUUGCCUGUUUAUUGCGAACAUUUUACCGACGAGAAGUGUCAAGAAAAUGAUAAUCGACUGUAUAAUCGAAAAAUGUACCUGUACUCGAGCUUCAGAGAGGGAAAUCCGAAGUGCGACCUCCUCUCUGAGAAAGACGUCGGGAUAAUGGGUCUUCUGGAAUAGUGACUCCAGCUCCUGCAGCUGUUGCGGCGUAAAAGUCGUUCGAUUUCGUCUCUAAAAUAGUGAAAUAAUUUCCUCGCAUCGAUUCUACUAUGUCAAAGGUAGCAAAAAAAGUUGGUAGAGGCUUUUAGCAGACUGUACACCCCAUGCAAGACAACGUCGAUGCCAGCAAAAGAAACGUACACUGACCUGACGGCGACGUCCGAACAUGUACUCGGUGAGUAGAUCUGCUUGCGGUC